CCUACGGGUGGCAGCAGUGGGGAAUAUUGCGCAAUGGGCGAAAGCCUGACGCAGCGACGCCGCGUGAGGGAUGAAGGUCUUCGGAUCGUAAACCUCUGUCAGCAGGGAAGAAAGGUCACUGUGCUAAUCAGCAGUGAAUUGACGGUACCUGCAAAGGAAGCACCGGCUAACUCCGUGCCAGCAGCCGCGGUAAUACGGAGGGUGCGAGCGUUAAUCGGAAUUACUGGGCGUAAAGCGCUCGUAGGCGGUAUGUCAAGUCAAGUGUGAAAUCCCCGCGCUCAACGUGGGAACUGCCUUUGAAACUGGCAGACUGGAGUAUGUGAGAGGAUAGUGGAAUUCCAGGUGUAGGGGUGAAAUCCGUAGAUAUCUGGAAGAACAUCGGUGGCGAAGGCGACUAUCUGGCACAUAACUGACGCUGAGGAGCGAAAGCGUGGGUAGCAAACAGGAUUAGAUACCCCAGUAGUC
rnacentral:rRNA from 1 species